rnacentral:rRNA from 1 species
GUCCACGCCGUAAACGAUGAAUGCCAGCCGUUAGUGGGUUUACUCACUAGUGGCGCAGCUAACGCUUUAAGCAUUCCGCCUGGGGAGUACGGUCGCAAGAUUAAAACUCAAAGGAAUUGACGGGGCCCGCACAAGCGGUGGAGCAUGUGGUUUAAUUCGACGCAACGCGAAGAACCUUACCAGCCCUUGACAUCCCGGUCGCGGAUUCCAGAGACGGAGUCCUUCAGUUCGGCUGGACCGGAGACAGGUGCUGCAUGGCUGUCGU